rnacentral:rRNA from 1 species
AUUGAACGCUGGCGGCAUGCCUUACACAUGCAAGUCGAACGGCAGCGGGCCUUCGGGUGCCGGCGAGUGGCGAACGGGUGAGUAAUGCAUCGGAACGUGCCAUUGAGUGGGGGGAUAACGUAGCGAAAGUUGCGCUAAUACCGCAUAUUCUGUGAGCAGGAAAGCAGGGGAUCGCAAGACCUUGCGCUCUGGGAGCGGCCGAUGUCGGAUUAGCUAGUUGGUGGGGUAAAGGCCUACCAAGGCGACGAUCCGUAGCGGGUCUGAGAGGAUGAUCCGCCACACUGGGACUGAGACACGGCCCAGACUCCUACGGGAGGCAGCAGUGGGGAAUUUUGGACAAUGGGCGGAAGCCUGAUCCAGCCAUGCCGCGUGAGUGAAGAAGGCCU